rnacentral:rRNA from 1 species
AACGAACGCUGGCGGCAUGCCUAACACAUGCAAGUCGAACGAGACCUUCGGGUCUAGUGGCGCACGGGUGCGUAACGCGUGGGAAUCUGCCCUUAGGUUCGGAAUAACUUCGGGAAACUGAAGCUAAUACCGGGAUAAAUUGGUCUUCGGACCAAAAGAUUUAUCGCCUUUAGAUGGGCCCGCGUUGGAUUAGCUAGUUGGUGGGGUAAAGGCCUACCAAGGCGACGAUCCAUAGCUGGUCUGAGAGGAUGAUCAGCCACACUGGGACUGAGACACGGCCCAGACUCCUACGGGAGGCAGCAGU